rnacentral:misc_RNA from 1 species
AAUUUGUGGUAGAAACCCUAGAAAAUUCUGAGAUUUUACCGCAGAUUAUGAUAUUGAAGUCAUUCAAAGUGCUCCCUCUUUGUCUGUAGCUGCUACAGUUUGAAGUACGAAGACAGAGAAGUAGGAAUGGCUGAUGUGCAAGAGAGAUGGUGUGUGGUGACUGGAGGAAGAGGCUUCGCUGCUCGGCAUUUGGUGGAAAUGUUGAUCCGAUACGAAAUGUUUCAAGUUCGAAUUGCAGAUUUAGGUACAGCCAUUAAGCUGGAGCCUGAUGAGGAGGAAGGCACAGUUGGAAAAGCUAUGCGAUCAGGCCGUGCUAAGUAUGUAUCCAUGGAUCUUCGUGACAAGUCCCAAGUACUCAAAGCGUGUGAAGGAGCUGAGGUUGUCUUCCACAUGGCUGCGCCAGAUUCAUCCGUCAACAACCACCAGCUUCAUCAUUCUGUUAAUGUGCUAGGAACCAAGAAUAUCAUUGAUGCUUGUGUUGAGCUAAAA